UCACUCUUGUUUCUCUUCAUAUUGUAUAAAUCUUUCGCUUUUUACUAAAGAUUUCCAUAGGGAAGACUAUUAUGAGUGCAUACUGAUUUUUUUGAUACCCCGCAACAGCGGUAC